GGGAUAGCUCAGUCGGUAGAGAUCAUGAGGAGUCAUGAUCUCAGGGUCGUGGGUCCGAUCCCCAUUUUGGGCA